AUUGAACGCUGGCGGCAGGCCUAACACAUGCAAGUCGAACGAGUGGCGGACGGGUGAGUAAUGUCUGGGAAACUGCCUGAUGGAGGGGGAUAACUACUGGAAACGGUAGCUAAUACCGCAUACCAUCAGAUGUGCCCAGAUGGGAGUGGCUUGUUGGUGGGGUAACGGCUCACCAAGGCGACGAUCCCUAGCUGGUCUGAGAGGAUGACCAGCACAGCUGGAACUGGACCACGGUCCAGACUCCUACGGGCGGAAGCAGUGGGGAAUAUUGCACAAUGGGCGCAAGCCUGAUGCAGCCAUGCCGCGUGUAUGAAGAAGGCUUUCGGGUUGUAAAGUACUUUCAGCGGGGAGGCGUUACCCGCAGAAUAAGCACCGGCUAACUCCGUGCCAGCCGCCGCGGUAAUAC
rnacentral:rRNA from 1 species